ACCACUGAACUAUUUAACGUUACAGAAUUUAUAGUACGUGGUAGAAGAAAGACCACUGUGUUUGCAGUUCUGGGACUGGAGUACCGUAGGCUGUGAGCAGACACGCGUUGGCUCUGUUUUGGUUUUGCUUCAUUUUAAGUUAUUUGAUUUGGUGUCUGUAAAACCCCGUGUGCACAUUUUUGUGAGCCUUAGGACCAUUCGCUGACAAGCUUGCUUGAACUCUAAGAUACGCUCCCAGUUUCAGAAAACCGCAAGUUAUUUACUCCAUAGACAAGGAAAUGGAGGUCAUUCAGCUCAUUUCUUACAUAAUUUUCAACUUCCUUUCUGAGUCUUGACGUCUCCCAGCAAUGGGAGUCAUGUGCUCUUUAGGUAGACGCAGGAAUGGGGAGAGCAGGUAGGUAGCGCUGAGAGCUGCUAGCUGCUAACUCUACUCCAUGCACUUGCUUUGGCGCUAAAAUGAUACGAAUCAAAGCGGCAAGAGUGGAGGAAGGUGCAUGUAAAUUAAUCCUGCUUUUCCUAUUUAAUUGUGUUUAGAAAAAGUUCAGCAGGAAAUGCCGGAAAACCUCUAUCUUACGGGAAGUAAAAUUCUCUUAAAGUUCUUUAAGACAUGGCAAAUAAAUAUUAACCUGAAACAACACAAGGAGCAAUCCUUAACAUCCUUAAGAUUAGAGAGCAGCGUAGAAAGUAAAUCUUUCAAACACCAACUGGCGUCUUCCAAGAUGUUUUCAGAAUGACUACAUAUAAUGAGCAAAUACAUACCUUCAGCAAGAAAGAAAAAAAAAAAAAGAAGACUGAGUCAUGAGGAAAGAGUGACUCUGUAAAACUUAGAAUGGAAUCAAUAAUCACCAGAUAUCAAAGGAAAACGAUAAAGAGGAAAAGAUAAUUCCUAUGUGUCUAGCUUGGAAAGAUAAUGACUCAAUUCGGUGAGGUGGGGAGAGAUGGGCAUAGUUUGUUUGAAAAUUAGGAAUGGCUUACUAAUGGCACGAUUUUUUCUUGUGUAGGUCUACUUAAUGGUAGAUGGUCCGUGAGUCCGUCUGAAGAGGCUAGAACAAAAUUUGAGAACCUUUUAGUUCCAAAUGUUGUCUUUUCUUUGUCCUCCCAGGGGACAGGGGAUGGGAGGGACUGAAUGCUGAUGGAUCAUUCACCUUGGAGAGUCCCACAUUAUGGAGGAAAUAGCUUAUAGAAUCAGAGAGGAGAAGUCUUCUGGGGGACCUCCAAAUUGUGAACUGAGCGCUGAGAGCUGAGACACCAGAUGUUUUCAUGACAUGGGCAGGGUUUAAUUUAAUCAAAGGAUAUGGCCUAGAAGGAAAUUCAGUGACGGAUGGUGAGGAGCAGAAUCCCAACCGAGCUGACUUACAAUUUCAGAUGCAGAGAAAAGAGUGGUUCAGGAAAUUCUGCAACAGGUAUAUCAUGGGUUCUUAAAAUCCUUCAUGUUUAUGAUUUUAAUUGUUCCUGUUUCCCGAAGUGAUUAGCAGAAAAAAAUUCAGGAGGAAAUGGAUAUGUGUGCUGGAUGGGAAGAGAAAAGCCAGGGCACGAUAUCCCAUGUCACAGCCCGCUUGUGGUUGGGGAGGGGGUGGUGUAAUGUGAGGAAGGGAGAGGGGCUGGAAGUUUCUGAGAGGAGGGUGUGUGUGUGUGUGGGGGGGGGGCAGAGAGGAGACCAGGCUUGGUCUGUGAGAAAGAACUCAGUGGGAGCCCAGGGUGAUCCCAUUGGGGUCUGUGACCCUCCAGACAAAAUCCAGAAACCAACAGCUAGAAUGUGUGUUUACCCCUAAAUAGGACGAAAAAGGAGGGGAAGCAGAACUGAAAACAUCAGACUGUCUGGAACAGUUUACACUAUGGAAGGUCAGGUUAUGAAUGAGCUCAUUUUCAUGUCCACAUAUGAUCUAUGUGAAGCUCACUUCUCAUGCAUGAUGAUCUCGGAAAGAGUUUAAAAUAAUGCCCAGCACCUACUAAGGGCUCAACAAAUGUCGACUCUUUACCUCUGAUUCCACCUUCAGUUUGUCUAAUUCCCGUGAUUCCAGUGUCCUGAACGACCUCAGCCAUGGUUGUUUUUUUUUUUUUUUUUUUAAUGUUUAUUUAUUUAUUUUGAGGGAGAGCGAGCAAGCACAGGGGAGGGGCAGAGACAGAGGGAGAGAGAAAAUCCCGAGCAGGCAUUGUGCUCUCAGAGCAGCAGCCAACACAGGGCUCCAUCUCAGGAAUCAUGAGAUCAUGACCUGAGUUAAAAUCAAGAAUCGGGCUCUUCUGACGGAGCGACCCCGGCACCUUUCAGCCAAGCUUUCUAAAGCAAAUGCAUGAAGGAAGAGUUAAGAGCUAACAUUCCUAAUUGCUUCUUUGGAAUCACUUUCCAAUUUACUCAUAUUGAUCAGGCAUGGAGGUUCUUCUGGAAAUUGGUUUUGUCUCGAUUAUAGGACAAUUGGAAACAAAUGGUGUCUAUUAUUUUGCAAAGAAGCUCAAAGCUUCAGACAAUAAACACGUUUAUGUGUCUCUCACUUGGUCUUGUUUUGAAGUUAUGGAAGUUAAUUUCCCUUUAAGCAGUAUUAAAAAAUAAUUCAUAGCACAUUCUACUUGUGUUUAAAAUUAAGAUUAUGGCAUACUGACUAUCCUAUCAGAAUCAGGGCGAAUCUUUUGUCUUUAGCGGUUUGUGAUAUGCCUGGUUAUGAUUUUCUUUUGUAUUUUGGGGCUAGCUGAGAUUCUUGAAUAUGAAGGUUGCUUUAAGAAUUUUGGAAAAUUCUUGAUCGUGUUUUCCUUAUAUAUUUUUUUCUGCCCUGGUCUUUUAUUCCCUUUCUUCUUCUUCCCCCCCCCUCCCCCCACCCCUCAUCCUUCUCCUCCUCCUUCUUUGUCUUCAGUUAAUUCUAAUAAUAAGGAUGUAGGGUUUUGCCCUAUGACCUGCACGUGAUUGAUAAUGUGUAUUAUUUUAUUCUCUUGUACUUUAGUCGAAUAUUUUAUGCUCAUCUGUCUUUGGGACCAUUUAGUGAAUCUUCUGCUGUGUUUAUCCAGUGACGUCUUAGUUUUGGGUAUUGUAGUUUUCAGUCUUAGAAUAUAUAUUUUUUUAAUGGAUUCUAAUGUUUGAUCAAAUGUCACAUCGUUUCAUCGCUUUUGUCCGUAUUUUCUUCCAAUUUUUUAAACCUAUUGAUUAUUUUAUCAAAGUCUUUGGAUGCUAACAGCAAUAUCCACUUUAUCUUUGUAUCCACUUGUAUCAUUUGUUCCAUUUGGUUAUUGCUCAUGUUUUUCUGUCUCUUUCCAUGUUAGUAAUUUGUUAUCAGAUGCCAGGUGUUAUGUACGAAGCCAGAGUCGGAGGUUUUGCGUGAUUCUACUUCUAGCAGACAGGGCUGCGCUUUUCCCUGUGAGGCCGAUGAGGGGAGGAGGUGGUCAGCUCAGUCUGUAGGGACUAAACUGGAUCAGGACCAUAGAGGUUUUAGUUCUGGUUUGGUUUCGCUUUAGUUCUCUAGUUCUGUCUUUUUUCCUUGGGCCUGUCUCUCCCGCACUUUUGACUGAGACCCCCCGAGAGACAACUUUUGCGUCUUGCCACGCACUACGUAUUUCCAAACUUGGUGAACAUCCUGGGGACACCAGCCCUGAUUCUGAGCCAGUCUCUCCCAGUUACUAUGGUAAUUACUGGAGAUCUUAGUUUACCUUCCAGAAGUUUCUCAGCCUGGAGCUCAGCCUUGGAAUUCAACAACAGUACCAUGAAGAAACUUGGCUGAGCAUUUGGGGAGAUUUUCAUUUCAAGUCGCUCUGGUCCUUUGCAUGGAUGCCAAUAGCUUGGCUGGUUUCUGUCCCUCCUGUGGUCCUUGUACAUGGGCCGGGUCUGGCCUUCAGACUGUGCCUAGGAUCUGUGAAUGAAGAAAACAGUCCGUGAGAGACAGCUCACCUCAGGGAAGCUCUCUGCCCUUGGAAUUGUAGUUCAUUUAGUUCUGUUUGGUUCCACAAUUCUCUGAUCUUUUCAACUGUGAUCUUUGAAAUACAUGUAUUUGAAAAAAAUUUUUUAACGUGUAUGUAUUUUUGAGAGAAGAGAGAGAAGACAGAACACGAGUGGGGGAGUGGCAGAGAGAGAGGGAGACACAGAAUCCGAAGCAGGCUCCAGGCUCCGAGCUGUCAGCACAGAGCCUGAUGCGGGGCUCGAACUCAGGAACUGUGAGAUCAUGACAUGAGCUGAAGUCGGAAGCCCAACCGACUGAGUCACCCAGGAGCCCGAAGUAAAUUUAUAUUCCGUAGUUGGGUCCAGCAAAAAUAUGUUUGGCUGCACCAACUGCAUUUUACCUAUCGUUGGAAGUACACGUGGGGUUAAUUUUUAAAAAGUUUGCGGCCACUAUGUCUUUCCUGCCUAAGAGCUUACAAGGAGAUCAUCACCCAUUUUUCCCAGAGGGUCAGGUAAAACUAUCACAAAGAGAAGAGUGGAUGUGUGUGUGUGUGUCACUCAGAAUUUAAAAAUUACAUUUGGAUGCCAAAGUUCGUGUGGAGAAAUAUUCCCGAGCAAGUUCCAGGCCUGUCACGCACAGUAAGAAAGACGGGACUGCAAUAGCCACUCAAUUUUCUUUUCAAUACGGGAAAUAUUUGUUCAGGGGAUUGCUAUGUGGGGAAGUAUUUCAAUAAAACCAUAAGAGACUCUUAAAUACAGAGAACAAAUGGAGGGUCAAUGGGGGGGAUGCGGGAGGGGGGGGGAUGGGCAUUGCAGAGGGCUCUUUUUGGGAUGAGCCCUGGGUGUUGUAUGCAAGGGAUGAAUCCCGGAAAUCUACUCCUGAAGCCAAGACUACAUUGUAUACACUGUAUGUUAGCUAACUUGACAAUACGUUAUUUUUAAAAAAUGAAAAAGAAUUUUGCAAGUCAUCCUAAGACCUUAAAGGUCUUGGCUCGGGGCCUGCCCACAUGAAAGGCUUGACUCUCCUUUUUUCUCUCCAUGGGGUAGAGGAAGUACAGGUGUACUGAGGGAUAUCUGGCUGCCAUAGAACCUCGCGGCAAACGUCAGCGCCACGGGUGAUAUUACUCUGCAUGUAAACCUGGGCGAGUGUUGGAUCUCGGGAAUAUUUUCUAAGAAUAUCCUUAGAUACGCAUCGAAGAAAGUGCCUGUCAUUAUCCUUAAGUAUGGUGGCUGUGUUUGUGACUUCAUCAAACCCUUUUGUACGUCCUAAAUAAAUAUUCCUUUUGGAAUCAAA
rnacentral:lncRNA from 1 species